ensembl:ncRNA lncRNA:CR45375 long non-coding RNA:CR45375
UUCAUUUUAAAUCAAGGUAAACAAUUGCUACUCAUUAAUAUCAUACUGCUUUUGGCAAGACAAAUAAGAACCCUAUAUAGUUCACACUUCAUCUAAAAUUCAGUGAUGCUAUUUAGCUGACCGCAGGUGUGCCUGUGACCACGGGUGAGUUACAAUAAUGUGGGUGAUGUCUCUGCAUAUGUAUGCAUUUAACUUUAUGUAGCUUUCAGCGGAAUAUCAAUGCGAGAACAAAUGUACAUUCGAACCUUACGCAAACGCUUAAUGCGAAAGUGAUCCAAGGAAAUUUAUGGAGUCCAAAUUGGUUAUAAUUUAGCAGAACUGAAUCCGGACUUAAGCUUCCCACACAGAAACUAAGAGAAGAAGGCUCCCAAAAUGGCAAGAACUU